rnacentral:lncRNA from 1 species
UGAGAUUAUUUAAGAAACCACUGCUAUUGAACUAGCAGGAGAUCCUCUCGUCCGUGACCUAUGCCAGAGCAUCUGAUUGUUGUGCCCCAGGUGCAGGCCAUAAUUUUCAUGGGAAAGUAUUAAGAACGCAUGAAGAGUGACCGUCCUCUCUGCUAGCCCUCUCUGAUUUGUAUGGGCUUGUCCUGGCCUUUCCAUCCGCAGUGUGGAGGUGGUUGUUUGUUUUCUUCUUAAAUGGUGUCCUGCCUUCCUCCUCUUUUUUGACAAAACUGUACAUACAUGGAGACUCGCUGAGUGUUGAGCACGGCACGUGAAUGGAGGGGCCACUUCAAACUACUUUUGCAAGAAGGGAUUCCGCUCGACAGAUAAUGAAACCAUGGGAUAGACCUCAGGGAGAGUAGACCGCUGCCUUGCUCACCCCCUGCUUUUCACUGUGCCUGGAGGCUAUAAAGUGAGAGGUUGAGUUGCUCAUCAAGAAGCAGCAUCUGCUGGAAGAAUUGCCGUGUGUUGUUGUCCAACAGACCCUACCUCAUGAGCGUUACGCUGUUCCUGGUGUAGCUAUCUCCAGUGUCCAUUCGUUGUGAAGGAAACUAAGAGCAUGACGGAGUCGUCUAUUGAAAGGUAUGAUGACUUUACUGAAUAGCACUCAAAAAAUAAAUGCUCUCUGAUACCGCUGAAAAGUUCUGUG